UUUCAGCUCAUUUCUUUAAUAAGGAGACGCAGCUCAUUACAAAAUAACAAUUUGACAAGAGAUCAGACAAGAACAAGAGUCCACAUAAGGGAGAUGGAGAGCAUUGCCAAGCAGAGGUGGGGAAUGGGCCGGGGGCCGGGCUGUACAUGUGUCCUUCCUAUGGAGACAAAGGCAGGGCUCCUGGUGGGCUGACCUGGAGGAAGCUAGGCUCUGCCAGGCCCUGAUUUUGAAGUUUUCAGCCCCAGGGUUUUCAGAAAGCAACAAAUCAAGUCCUUAGAUGGGCAGGAGUCAGGGCAGAAAGGUCAGCAUCUUUGAAGAGGCCCCACUACAGUCCUGAUCGCUAAGGCAGACAUGCAUCUUGAUUAAACAAGAUUCUGUUCAUAUGUUUCUAGGUAAUUAUCUUCUUUUAUAUAUAAUUAAAUAUACAUGGAUGGGGGCAGAUGAGGCUCAAAUGGCUUCAGAAGGUUCUUAUUUUGUUGUUGCUUAAAAAAUAAAGUAAUUCAUGUGUCUUCAAGUCACAGUGUCCCCUUCUCAAUAUUGCAGUUCAAAAAACUGGUUAAGUCAAAUCCUUGGGGUUCCUGGCCCCCUGGGACCAAAGGGAGAGGGGAAAAGUCAUAGGGCAGGGUUCCCAGACACAAUGCAGGAUGGCCAGUUACAUUUGAAUUUCAGAUAAACAACGAAUUAUUUUUUAGUAUAAUAUGUCCCAACUAUUGCCUAGGACAUACUUACACUUAAAAAUUGUUUGUUGUUGAACUGAAAUUCAAAUGUAACUGGGCAUCCAUAUUUUUAUUUGGCAACCACAGAAUGGGGCUCUGGGCCACCAGGAUCUUGGGACUCCUCCCUGCCUGCCACCACCCAGGGCUCCGAGAAAGGGCCCCAAACAGCUUUAAGUGGGAGGGGCAGAGGAAAGGGAAGGGAAGAGGCAGAGCAGAGGAUAUGAGGGCAGUUCCUGGCUCAAUCUCUUUGUACCUUUGAGUGGGAGGGGAUGCCCUCAGGAACAGGCAUUUUCUCUAUGAGGUUGGGUGAGACCCAGGACUCAGAUGCCUUAUGAAUUAACCUAGGACAUUAAGGGAACAUGGAAACUGUCACUCCCCAAACCCAGGGAGGUUCAUCAACCUCUUUGCUAUCACCCCCCCUUACCCCCCCACCCCACUGCAUGGAGGCAGGUUUAUAAGAGAGCUGCUUUUACCCACAGGAGGGCUGUAGCGACCCCUCUUCUCCCUCUCGCUGAAGCCUUGGGCCAGCAAAAUCAUCCCAUACUGAUUCCGCAGAGACACAAGUUAUGUAUGCUUUCCUAGGAAGAAAGAUCAGGAUCUGAGACUGUGGCCUAAUCCCUGCUGUCUCAUCCUCCAGCUGAGGGACUCCAGGAAAGUCACUUCUCAUUCAUGCCGAGCACCUGCCUACUGUCUGGGAUUGCCCCAGCAUUCCUUACCCAGCCUUCCCCAGGCCUCAGCUUCCACUUCCAAAGUCCAAAAACCUGUCUGUAGCUCUGACAGAAUUAGCAUCCCUUCUGGAACAAUUAUUCAGGGAGGAAGAAGAAAACAAGCUUUCAGACCUUAUCCCAGUUUCUGGGUGGGAUUAGGCUUGGAUUUUCAUGGUCUCAGCUUCUCUAAAAAUCACCUCUAUACUACUUUCCUUUCUCUGGAACAGACUUUGAGAUGAAAACUUAUAGCCC
ensembl:lncRNA